UUCUUACCCGGUAAAAGCAAAAAUAUCUGCAUAUAAAUUAAAUUAAACUUUGCGGCUUACUUCCGUUGCCUGGCGACGGGCCAAUCGGCGAAUGACGACCCAGGUGCAUACGUUAUUCGUCAGACACGUCGCCGAAGCGAGAGAGACCGGCCGCGCAUCUGAGCGUUGGCCUGUUCGGUCACCCGUCUGCCUUUUUUUCUAUUUAGGGAUUUAGCCUGGUUUGGUGGGCUCACGGCAAUUCUUGCGUUCCUUCUGAACUUCGACAUGGCACCACUGCACUAUUGGACUACGGCAAGGGUACCAUUCGAGCGCAGUGGGCGCGCCUGGCGCUGUGACACGGAUAGCGAAAAGCAGCUCGGCCGCGGUGCGCAGUUUCGCGUUUCAAUGCACUGAUAGACAAGUUCAUGGCUCUUUCUCUGACGCCCAACAUUGCUGACGUCGUCUAGUGGAGCUUCCUGCGGAAACUACUGCUGCUUACCUGGUGCCACAACGUCGGAUGAAUGCACAAAAAGCCCGCUACGAGCAUUU